GGGGGCACAGCGCGUCGCCACGCCAACAGGCCGGCAGCCGCGGGCCGGGCCAUAGGGGCGGCGGGGGGAGCGGCCCCGGCGCGGUCCCCGCAGUGUGAGGGAGCGGGGGUGUGAGGCGGCGGGAGGGACGGAGCUGUCCGUGCCCGAGGGGGGCGGCGGGUCGGGUGAGACGAGGCGCGUGCGGACCGGCUCUUUACCCCAUCGCCCCCCAGCGCAGGUUUGUGCGGGACUGGAAACGAAAACAGAGGAAGAUUUCAGCAACGAGGAAAAAAAAAAAAAAA